UUUCCUAAAGAACACGGAUAGGAAAACGACAUCAUGGUGCAACGGGUGCAGUAAGAGGGGCAGGGAGAGUUCAGGCCUGGUAGGCUUCCCAGAAGCGGUGACUUCUGCAGGGGGCCUUGAAGGCUGAGUAGAAUUUUUGCCAGAUGGAACACAUAUUCUAGGUGUAAGGAAAAACGUGUGAAUGCAGGGAUGCAUGAGAAAGGGCACGUCGUGUGGUAGGAAGCUGGAAAUGUUUCUGUGGGGCAGGAACGGGAAGGAUGGGAGGGAUAGGGGCUGACCUGUGGGAGUGUGUCCACUUGGUCUGUGCCUUCUAAUCCACACCACCCCCGACAGAGAACCACAGGGCCUGGGAUCUCCAAAGGCACACCCUGCCCCACCUCCAGCACUGCCUCUCCUCUCCUGUAUUUUCAACUUGGACCCACCCUUGCAGAUCUAGUUCAGAUGCCACCUCUUCUGAUCCCCUCAGCCAGAAAUAACCUCUCCCUUUCUCUCAAUGCAUUCAGUUCUUUAUCGUACCUCUAGCUUUCUGACCUUGAUCAGAAGUUAUCCUGAGUCAUGUUUUACCUCCCUGGUAACAUCAUAACCUCCCUAGGGGCAAGGUACACAUCUUAUUUGUCUUUGCGGCCUCCAUGACACAGCUGGGGGGAGUGGGGCGGGCAAAGAAUAUUAGCUGAACAGACUGCAAAAUUACAUCGUCGUGAAUGCAGGUAGAAUUUAUAGCAUUCCAACUAGAGUAGCUACCGAACACUAUCAUGCUACCGAAGUUUGCUUUCAUUUUCUGGAAUACAUCAUUUUUGGACUCUUUUCCUAAGCUACCAAACCCAAAAAGCUGUAGCCACAUUCAACAGGCCCUGGAGAGUAGCCACACCUGGGGGACCCUCGGCAAAAAUCACUCAACCCCUUUGAGCUAGUUCCUCAUCUGUAAAACGCUGAUAAAAGCACUUUUGUGUGGCUGCUGAGAACCAAGUGUCUCAGCACAGUGCCGGGCACAGAGCAGAGGCCGGCAAACAGCCGCUGGCACCCUUCUGACUCCACAGAGCUGCUGCGCAGGGCUUAUGUGAGAGGGAUCUGUUUCAACAGCAGAGUACGAGCUGGAAAGCUCACCCAAGGAGCCAAACCUCCUACAAAUAAGGAAACUAAAGCCCAAAGAGGUCGCGUUACCCAGGGUCACAGCUCUAAGAAGUAUGGCAUUUGGGCAGAAUCAUACUUGUCUUCCCAAACUUUAGUGAGACAACCUUUCCAGUCUUGAUGACCAACUGGGUAUGACUCUAAACUGUCAAAAUCACUCAGUCAGAAACAAAACCGUAAGUGAAACCCCGUGAAGAUUGCUGAUUCUAUUCUCUACCUAUUUAGUCUAGUGGAAGAAGAAGCUAUGGCACUUUUGGAGUGAGAAGCAUUGUCCUUUACAAGCCCAGUGCUGAAAGGGGAUGUGACUUUACACGUGAUGGGAAGGACCUCAAGCUUCAGGUGCUACACCGGACCCUCUGGGCUCAGAAGGCCGUGUUCUAGAUCCAGCUUCCCUAGCAGCCAAGAGCUGUGUGACGGGAAACAGCGCCGCUAAGAAAGGAUGUUGGCUAGUAUACAGAGUGCUUUCACGUGUCUCAUUCAUUAAGCGAAUGUCGGGCACGUGCUGGGCCAUUUGUAACUGGGGUUACACACACAGGCACUGCCACAAGCCCUGCACCAAGUUACUGUAAUGUACUUAAUUCUGUCCCGAGUCUCGGCCGUGCCACUUGCAGCGCCUUCCACCUGGAAAAUUCUCCUCUUAAUGUCCUUCUAACCCAUUCAGGUCUCCACUCCGGCGUCAGGCCUAAGGACUGCUCACUCUACAGCAGCCCCCAUGGCACGCCUACAACGUGCCUCACGUUCUUCAGGGCUGUGGUCGACGCUGCGCCUCGGGCAGGGCCCGGAACACGGAGCUGUCCGGGAACUCUCAGGCAAAGGUCCUCGAGGUUCCAGAGACCCGGCCCUAACAUCACCCUGGCCAAAAGUUCUCAACGUCACGUGAAGACCCUGCCUGGACGUAGACUCCUAGGCCCCACCUCCAGACCUUCCGAUUUAAUGUACCCGAGAGGUGGUUCAAAGUGUGAAUUUUUAAAAUAAAUUUAUUUUAUUUUAUUUA